rnacentral:rRNA from 1 species
AUUGAACGCUGGCGGCAUGCCUUACACAUGCAAGUCGAGCGGUAACGGGCCUUCGGGUGCCGACGAGUGGCGAACGGGUGAGUAAUGUAUCGGAACGUACCUUUCAGUGGGGGAUAACGUAGCGAAAGUUACGCUAAUACCGCAUAUUCUGUGCGCAGGAAAGCAGGGGAACUUCGGGCCUUGCGCUGAUUGAGCGGCCGAUAUCAGAUUAGCUAGUUGGUGAGGUAAAGGCUCACCAAGGCGACGAUCUGUAGCGGGUCUGAGAGGAUGAUCCGCCACACUGGAACUGAGACACGGUCCAGACUCCUACGGGAGGCAGCAGUGGGGAAUUUUGGACAAUGGGGGCAACCCUGAUCCAGCCAUGCCGCGUGAGUGAAGAAGGCCUUCGGGUUGUAAAGCUCUUUCGGCCGGGAAGAAAUCGUAUCAGCUAAUACCUGGUGCGGAUGACGGUACCGGCAUAAGAAGCACCGGCUAACUACGUGCCAGCCGCCGCGGUAAAAC